rnacentral:lncRNA from 1 species
ACCUUAAUUCAUCGCUUUUUACAAGGUAGGUUGGAAAACCUGCAGUUCGCAAAUGUUUAUCUGUGGACUAAGGCCAGUCUGCGGCAAAGAUUUAACCAGUCUAUAUUGAAAAGAGAAAAUAAUAUUAAGGACAAAGUAAAGAGUGUGUAUAUGUGCGUGUGUGAGAGAGAGAGACAGACAGAGAAGUGUCUGUGAAGUGCUAACCUUCCUUUCCUGGGAAGAUCCUACUUCCCCCUGAGAUUUUGCCCUUCUUACUUUUGCCAGUUACAUGCUUAUUGUAAUAAAUAGUAGCUGAUUUUUUUAACGUCCUUACUUAGAAGAAAGUACUUGGCAAACCCAUGUCAGUACUCUCCCCACUUCUCUUUCUUUUUUAAUUUCAAAUUGUUUACUGAUCUGCGGAAUGUACACAUCUAGGAAGGUACUUAGAAGCCCUAUGAUGCUGAAGUGCUGGACCAACGAAUGGAGCUGAGCUCUUCUGAUUCUGAUUUAUCACAACUGCUGUUGCCAGUUCCCAGUGCUGCAGACGAGGAGAUGCCAGUCCCUACCAAUCUGAAGGUGAAUUAGAAAUUCUUAAUCCUGUAAAAAAAUACUCAUUCCUGGGUGGAUUUCCCUCAUUGUUCUCACUCUGAUCUCAUUACUUUUGUUAACUUCUCUUUCCUCCUCAACACGCCCUCUCUGCUGUCUUUCUAGCAAAUAUUGACACUGAAAUUUUCCAAAUGAUUCCAAAUCAGUACACACUGCUUAUAUUUGUGUUACCCAACAAAGCAAUCCUUAAAAUCUUUGAACAAUCAUCUCCAGACUUCUUGUAUUGGAGAAUUGAAACCACCGGCAGAGGUUAACAACUCAGGGAAGCAGGUGGUGUGAGAGAAGAAAAUGACUUUACUAAUUAUUAGGGGAAAAAAAGCACAGAGGCUCCUAUGUAAAGAAUUAUCCCCAAUUUUCCUACACUUCUUGGCAAAAAUACCCUUGAGCCUUUUUUACAUAUUUAUUAAAAUUUAUUUAUAUGACAUUAUCGAUGCCCAAAGAGAAGACAAAGUAAGGUGUGAGUGUGAUUGUCCUCAGCUCUCCCCGACAGUGAGGGACCUGAGGGUCUGUCUACUGAGGCCUGAACAGAGGAGUGAAAGCUUCAGGAAAGUUCUUACAAAUGAAGUUUGUACACCUCUCUGAGUCCUCGGAUAGCCUACACAGGGCCGGGCCUAGGGCAAGGCGGAGGAGGACGCACUGACUCCCAGGCCCCUCAAGUUCAGGGUUAGGGUCAGGGUCAGGUGUAAGACCAGCCCCAUAAGCUUCGCCCUCCAGGUUUGCCUCAUCCCGGUCCAGUCCUGAGCCCACACAUUAAUGGAUUUAAGAUUUGAUAGCAAAACCCUAAACAACAGGAAUACCUAAAGGAAGAUAAAAAGCAGCCAUACACUUUUUAUACCUUCUGUGCAUGUUUCAUGAAAUCUUUUCUUAUAACUUCUUUAUAGUCUCAAUAAUUGUUAAUACGUAAACAAAUGACAUUUUUAAAAAUGAUUCAAAAGGUGCAUUUUCAUAAAAUGUGUUCCUCUCAACCCUUCCCUCUCCACCAUCGAGAAUGGUUCAGCAAACCCUGUUUGGCUGUAAGCUCUGUGCAGUGUCUGCGUUUCCUUACUUGAACUGAGCACUUCCCAUGGAGUCGAUUCUGGUGUCAGUCUGUCUUCUUUCCGAGAGGCAGACCUAAAACGAGGUUAAUGAUCCAAGGAUUUUCUCAGAGGCCGUGCUUGUGUGAGAUCCCAUGGGGAAGGAGCCAGAAGAGGCCAGGAGAGCCAUGAGCCUGAGCCUGUGACGCAAGUCUGACAUGGAGCGAAGGACAGAGAAAGGGAAGCACACAAGACUGUCAUGCAGCCUAAGGACAGGUCAGCAAGGCCACCUGGGAGUCCUGGAGCCAAAAUCAGCCAUCACAGUAGAGGCAUGUCUGCCUCGAGCUGCCUUGUCUUGGUAUUCCUGCUGCAGUGGUGAGGGCUGCGGGCAGCCUGUGGGCAGCAGCAGCUGGGUCCCUUGGGUAAUCCAUCUGCCUGUAGUCAGAGUCUGCAAGGCACAUUCUCAUGGCCACCACAACUCUAGCUGUGGCUCUUAAUCUUUCAGACCCCUCACACCACAGAAUCAGGACUAGUAUCCUUUAUUCCCCUGAUAAAACUUUUGGACCAUUCCUCCUUUACUUUCUUUUUGCAAACAAAAUAAAAUCAUAAACUUGUCAAAGCAAAGCCCAGCAGCUUUCAGGCUCAUGCCAUUUGGCUAGUCUGUAUUCUGAGCGCCUCCUCAUUCCCUAAACUUCAAUAUCUGGUUAUGGUCUUCCCCACUCUAAUUCUUUCCAACAUCGCAGGUCAAUUCAGUACCUGAGCCUCUCAGUUCCUCACCUUCUUCAUCAUCCGUGACCUCCUCCUUUACCCCUCUUCUGCACACCCUUCAAAGAUCUGCUCAAUUAGCACAUUUUCUUGGAAGCCUUCUCAGAAUGCAAAUUAGAUCAGCUCCUCCUAGUCCAUACUUCACAGCAUCUCUACUGCUCGUUCCGAGCUCAGUGACAGUCAUGAAAGUGUAUGUGUACCCGUGU